GCAAACUUGGUCAUUUAGAGGAAGUAAAAGUCGUAACAAGGUUUCCGUAGGUGAACCUGCGGAAGGAUCAUUACCGAAUGACCCGCACCCUCUUGUGGUGGACGGCGCUCGUCCGUCUGCUGCGCCUCUCAACAACCGAAACCCCUCAUCAUGUGCUGGGGGUGGCAUCGCUGCCCCUUGAAUGUCGUAAAUAUGAACAUACAUAACUUUCAACAACGGAUCUCUUGGCUCUCGCAUCGAUGAAGAACGCAGC
rnacentral:misc_RNA from 1 species